AUUGAACGCUGGCGGCAGGCUUAACACAUGCAAGUCGAACGGUAGCAGGAGAAAGCUUGCUUUCUUGCUGACGAGUGCGGACGGGUGAGUAAUGCUUGGGAAUCUGGCUUAUGGAGGGGGAUAACUACGGGAAACUGCAGCUAAUACCGCGUAGUAUCGGAAGAUGAAAGUGCGGGACCGCAAGGCCGCAUGCCAUGAGAUGAGCCCAAGUGGGAUUAGGUAGUUGGUGGGGUAAAGGCCUACCAAGCCUGCGAUCUCUAGCUGGUCUGAGAGGAUGGCCAGCCACACUGGAACUGAGACACGGUCCAGACUCCUACGGGAGGCAGCAGUGGGGAAUAUUGCGCAAUGGGGGGAACCCUGACGCAGCCAUGCCGCGUGAAUGAAGAAGGCCUUCGGGUUGUAAAGUUCUUUCGGUAUUGAGGAAGGAGUGUAUGUUAAUAGCAACAUUAUUGACGUUAAAUACAGAAGAUCACCGC
rnacentral:rRNA from 1 species